AUGAAUGUUGCCCAACAGAGAUUAUUUUGUGUAGUAUUUAAAGGAGAUAAGUUCCCUUACGGUUUAGCAGCUGAUAUACGUGGUAAUGUGCAUGUCAAGGAAAGGAAAAUAAUUGGGCUAAACAGCCAUGACAACCACAUCUUGAUGCAACAUUUGCCACCACUUGCUGUGAGAAGGCUAUUGCCCAAAAAAGUUAGUGCAACACUGAUUCGUGUUAGCAAUUUUUUCAAGCAGAUUUACUCACAUGUUAUUUUUGUUAGUGAUAUGGAAAAACUAGAGGCUGAAAUUGCUGAGACCUUGAGCAUUCUUGAGACUAUAUUCCCCCCAUCCUUUUUUGAUAUCAUGGUACACUUGAUGGUGCAUCUUCCAGCCCAAGCAAAAAUAGCUGGUCCAGUGCAUUUUCGCAACAUGUUUCCUAUUGAAAGGUAUUUGUGUUGGUGUAAGGGCUUUGUUCAUACUAGAAGUCAUCCAGAGGGAUCUAUUAUCGAGCGGUAUUUUUUUGAUGAGAAUCUUACGUACUAUUCUCGGUAUAUAAAAGGCAAAACUCAGUUUACUCGACGAAUUAGAAAUGAUCAAGGUUUGAGUAUGGCAACCAGUAGUACCACACCUUUCUUC
rnacentral:rRNA from 1 species